rnacentral:rRNA from 1 species
UAGUCCACGCCGUAAACGAUGAUAACUAGUUGUUUGCAAUAGAUCGUAAGCGACAAAGCGAAAGCAUUAAGUUAUCCACCUGGGGAGUACGUUGGCAACAAUGAAACUCAAAGGAAUUGACGGGGGCCCGCACAAGCGGUGGAACAUGUGGUUUAAUUCGAUGAUACGCGAGGAACCUUACCUGGACUUAAAUGUAGGUUGACAGGGGUAGAGAUACCUUCUUCUUCGGACAAUUUACAAGGUGCUGCAUGGUUGUCGUCAGCUCGUGCCGUGAGGUGUCGGGUUAAGUCCCAUAACGAGCGCAACCCACGUCUUUAGUUACCAGCACGUAAUGGUGGGCACUCUAGAGAGACUGCCGGUGUAAACCGCGAGGAAGGUGUGGAUGACGUCAAAUCAGCACGGCCCUUACGUCCAGGGCUACACACGUGUUACAAUGGCCGGUACAGAGGGCCGCUACUAUGUGAAUAGAUGACAAAUCUACAAAACCGGUCUCAGUUCGGAUCGAAGUCUGCAACCCGACUUCG